AUGGGUCUGGUAGGAAAAUGGUGGAAAAUGCUGCAGUGUAACAGAGGCUGCAGCUUUUCAUUACGCUGCAUAUCACAACAUAAUCGCGCCGUUAUUUGCUGCAUGAUUAAGAACAGCUGCACGUUUCCGCUUAUUUGCCCCGAGCGUUGCCUAUUACUGCCGUGCCUUGGCUGCCGGUCACUGUCUCCAAUCUGCUCUCUUCUCUCACAGGGUGGGAUCGGAGCCGCCGUGGAAAAGGGGGAGAGGGGAGAUCCCGGUCAGCCGGGUGCUGCAGGUACCAGCGGAGUGAAAGGACAGAAAGUAAGUGACACCGGCGUGAGGUGCUCGACACACUCUGGUUGCAUUUGUGCUUCAUUGUCUGCUCACAGGAAGAAGAGGGAGGAAGUUUAAACGAUGCUGGUAUCCAUCAAAAUUCCUCCGAGUUCCUUUUCCCUCCUAAACCUCAUGCAGAACUUGUGUUUAGCGAUUCCACGACAUCUUGAAUCAAUGGACAUGAUUCAGUUCAAAAUUGCACCCGAUACGUGUCCAUUUUCGGUAUUCUGUGUUGAGGGAAGGAAAGAUAAACAUCAAAAACAGAUAUAUACAUCAAAGCUUUCAUGAAAGAAACCCUCCUUCCCACAGUCUGAGCAACGUCGUGCUCGCCUCUCUUUCUCUGCACGCUUCAGCGCCCAUCAGCCACAACCUUGGGCACGAUGGCUUCCUCUCACCCCUAAUUGCAUGUGUUGAUUGCAUUUAAAACAUUAAACGCCUUAAUUACAAAGAUAUGUCACAUGUUAUUGCGUUACAUCUGACAGCCCCAUUUUAUAUUUUACAUAAUUAUCCCCAUUUGUGUCAGCUCAAUUUUUUUCUUAAAAAAAAAAAGCAUAAUUAAGGUUGUUGUUGGUCCCUAAUUUGGUCCCAAAGUUUUUUGAACUUUAUAUCGUACUGCCGCUAGCGCAGCUACAAACAUCUUGGCCACAUUUUUUACGCUGGAGAUGAGUUUUGAGAACUUAAUUGAAGCCUUGAGCAUCUAUAUUCUGGGGUUUUAUGGUGUUGGAAUCUGUGAUUCACCAUCAUUUUGAUCUUGGAUGGAGAUGAGAUCGUUAUUUGUUGAUCGUGUUAAUAAUUUAGACGGUUGGCUGUGUAUUGUCAAGCCGACAUUCCCCAAAUGCCUUUCGGUGGUUCGCACAGUAGAGUCGCAGCUGCAGUGCUUUAUGUUCCUGUUUUAUUCCAAGGCGCCACAGUUACAGCUUUUAAAUUUUCAAUGGGAGAACAGAGGCUUCGGAAUGUAAUGUGCCACGAUUACGAGCCUUCCAUAAGCAGCAGUUGUGCUGUAACCACAGUUACGCUGCGUACAUGAUGCAUGUGAAACGUAAUUCCUGAAUAUUCUUCUUUCUGUUCUUUAUGCUGUCCCACUCCUCCUCCUUUCCUGUUUUAAAAUCCUAUGGCUCUGUUUGAGAUGUGAGGUUACUGUGGGAAACUUGUCCGAUUUAAUACUACACCUUUUUUCCCCUUCUUUUCUCAGCCUUUUUGACCAUGUUCUCAUAUCUGCUGUGAUUUGAUACUGUGUUCCUCUGGUGUUUCCAGGGGGAUGUCGGCCCUCCCGGCCCUCCAG
rnacentral:lncRNA from 1 species